AUUGAACGCUGGCGGAAUGCUUUACACAUGCAAGUCGAACGGUAGAGGGGGCAACCCCUCGAGAGUGGCGAACGGGUGAGUAAUAUAUCGGAACGUGCCCAGUCGUGGGGGAUAACGUAGCGAAAGUUACGCUAAUACCGCAUUCGACCUAAGGAUGAAAGCGGGGGAUCGCAAGCCCUCGCCUCAUUGGAGCGGCCGAUAUCAGAUUAAGUAGUUGGCGGGGUAAAGGCUCACCAAGCCAACGAUCUGUAGCCGGUCUGAGAGGACGACCAGCCACACUGGAACUGAGACACGGUCCAGACUCCUACGGGAGGCAGCAGUGGGGAAUUUUGGACAAUGGACGCAAGUCUGAUCCAGCCAUUCCGCGUGCAGGAUGAAGGCCCUCGGGUUGUAAACUGCUUUUGUACGGAACGAAAAGGUCUCUCUUAAUACGGGGGACUCAUGACGGUACCGUAAGAAUAAGCACCGGCUAACUACGUGCCAGCAGCCGCAGUAA
rnacentral:rRNA from 1 species